UCUUAACUUCCUUGACAUCAAAGAAUGGAAACUAACAUUAUAAUACACACUAUUUCAAAUGCCUUAAUAUUUCACUCUAUUUAUAGGUGAUUUUGACAAAGAAGGUUUAAAACCUUUGUGGACAUGGAUUUUGAAACUUCUUAAAACUCUGGAAAGAUGAGGAAAAGGAACCAUUCAAAUGGAUCAUGUUUGACAGGGUUAUCACGAUCAUGCAUUUAUAAAAGAUGACUGCAUAUUAGCACUACCUUAAGAUUGGAGUUGAGACCUUGUAUUUUUUACACAGAAAAUAAAGAACAGUUGCUGAAUGAAACAGAUACUCACAGAAGCAAAUGUAAUGAGCCCAAAAUAAUGGUGAUCAAUUUUGAAUGAUUUUCUUCUCUGGUUGAAAUGUUAUUGAAAUGAUACGUACUGAUCCAAUUUUAGAAGUGUUUGACAAUGAAUACUAAGUAUUUUGUUGUAUUGUAUAUAAGUAUAAUGGCUUAUUUUAAAACUGUAUAAAGCUUGCAAUGUUUAUAUCAAAUGUAAUGAUAUUGUGUAGGAAUCAAUUUUUUUAAGGAUAAAAGAUGUAAUUUUUUUCAAUCAGAAUUUCCUAAAAAGACUUUCUAAUGUAAAUUUAUGUAUGAAUAACAGAAGUUUAUAAUCUUUUCUUUUAAUGUCAUUGAAAUACUGUAAUAAUGAACUGCAAUUUUACACAAAAAAUGUUUUAACAUGAAAGUUUCAAAUUUCAAGGUUUUAUGAAGUUUGAAUUGCAGCUCAUAUUGCUUUUUAUUGAAUUAUCUCCCUUAACCUUAGAUUUGUUCAGCAUUCUAUGUAAUAAAUUUAAUUUUGGAACAUGGGAAAGGUCUUGUUUUGAGCUCUGCUGAUUUUAACUCAAGCAGAGUAAAUGUGUUUAAUACAUGUUCAUGUAUAUCUGUAAAUAAUUGAUCUUCCCACAGAGUUAUUUCCCUUGUUCACAAUGUAAAAAUAA